UACGUAGGGUGCAAGCGUUAAUCGGAAUUACUGGGCGUAAAGCGUGCGCAGGCGGUGAUGUAAGACAGAUGUGAAAUCCCCGGGCUCAACCUGGGAACUGCAUUUGUGACUGCAUCGCUGGAGUGCGGCAGAGGGGGAUGGAAUUCCGCGUGUAGCAGUGAAGUGCGUAGAUAUGCGGAGGAACACCGAUGGCGAAGGCAAUCCCCUGGGCCUGCACUGACGCUCAUGCACGAAAGCGUGGGGAGCAAACAGG
rnacentral:rRNA from 1 species